UACGGAGGGUGCAAGCGUUAUCCGGAUUCACUGGGUUUAAAGGGGGCGUAGGUGGGCCUGUAAGUCCGUGGUGAAAUCUCCGAGCUUAACUCGGAAACUGCCAUGGAUACUAUGUGUCUUGAAUGUUGUGGAGGUGAGCGGAAUAUGUCAUGUAGCGGUGAAAUGCUUAGAUAUGACAUAGAACACCAAUUGCGAAGGCAGCUCACUACACAAAUAUUGACGCUGAGGCACGACAGCGUGGGGAUCAAACAGG
rnacentral:rRNA from 1 species